AUUGAACGCUGGCGGCAGGCCUAACACAUGCAAGUCGAGCGAGCGGCGGACGGGUGAGUAAUGUCUGGGAAACUGCCUGAUGGAGGGGGAUAACUACUGGAAACGGUAGCUAAUACCGCAUACCAUCAGAUGUGCCCAGCUGGGAUAAGCUCGUAGGUGGGGUACUGUCUCACCUAGGCGACGAUCCCUAGCUGGUCUGAGAGGAUGACCAGCCACACUGGAACUGGGAAACGGUCCAGACUAAUACGUGAGGCAGCAGUGGGGAAGAUUGCACAAUGGGCGCAAGCCUGAUGCAGCCAUGCAGCGUGUGUGAAGAAGGCCUUCGGGUUGUAAAGCACUUUCAGCGGGGAGGCGUUACCCGCAGAAGAAGCACCGGCUAACUCCGUGCCAGCAGCCGCGGUAAGAC
rnacentral:rRNA from 1 species